rnacentral:rRNA from 1 species
UACGGGGGGUGCGAGCGUUGUCCGGAAUUAUUGGGCGUAAAGAGCUCGUAGGCGGCUUGUCACGUCGGGUGUGAAAGCCCGGGGCUUAACCCCGGGUCUGCAUUCGAUACGGGCAGGCUAGAGUGUGGUAGGGGAGAUCGGAAUUCCUGGUGUAGCGGUGAAAUGCGCAGAUAUCAGGAGGAACACCGGUGGCGAAGGCGGAUCUCUGGGCCAUUACUGACGCUGAGGAGCGAAAGCGUGGGGAGCGAACAGG